rnacentral:rRNA from 1 species
ACGCUCGACACCUACGGGAGCAGCAGUGGGGGAUAUUGCACAAUGGGGGAAACCCUGAUGCAGCAACGCCGCGUGAAGGAAGAAGGUCUUCGGAUUGUAAACUUCUGUCCUCAGGGAAGAUAAUGACGGUACCUGAGGAGGAAGCUCCGGCUAACUACGUGCCGGCAGCGCGGUAAUCUGAGCGGGCUGGCAAGGC